AGUUCACAGCAUCUCGCCAGUUUAGAGAGCUCAGUGAUAUUCUGAUCGACUUUGUUUAAGAUACCUAUAGCGUAGAACAUCAAUUUUCUACAUGAAUUUUCAACGCUUUUCCCUAUUUUUAUGGAAAUUCGUCUGCUUUUAUGAAAAGUAAAUCUACUUAUAUAGUUAGCGGUGCACGUGUAUGCAGACGAGAAAAACAGGGUCGGAUGAUAGAGGAUGAUUAGGUAGACAGAUGGAACCUAAGAGGAACCAGACAGCGCCAGAAGAACGGGGGCCGGGACGAGAAACGUGUCGCCUGUUUCUCGACUGACGUAAGCGACUCGUUAUCGGGACGACCUUAAGGCCAAACAAGCGCGACCGCGCCAAGAAUCCAAGCGAUUCUACGCUCAAGCGCGAACACUUCUACACUGACAAUGCACGUUGUACAUGCUCUCGUGAUUCGGUUCCAGGAUUCGAUAGUAUGGACGACCCGAAAUUUGAAUAAAUUUUCAAAUGGAACUCGUUUUAUUUCGAUGAGAUAAGUAAGAUUGAUUGGAAAUUUACGAGUAAUUAAAAUGUUGGACUUUUUAAGGUAGAAACAGUGUCCGAAUGCUCGAUGAAAGAUUAUUUUCAAGAAACGAUACUUGUGGAAUUUAUUCUGCUCAGUAACAUUUUGAUCAAUAUAUUAUUAUUCUUACUAUAUUAAAUAUUAUUUAAAUUUUAUUGCGUUACCAAGGAACAUAAGACUGAAAAUUAGUAUGACAAUUAUAUCUAAAAUAGUAGAAACUACAGAAGAAGAUUUUUUGAAGUGGCGGAGAUUUUCUGGACAUAAAUUUUAUACAAACUGAAAUAGCGAACGAAAAUAAUGAGGAUGUACCUUCUCGUGUCAAAAGGUUUGGGAAAAGAUUUGGAUGAUUUGAAGCAAAAAAAAAAAAAAAAGAACCUAAGAAUGUAAAGUUACUGGUGUUAACAAAUAUAGACAACUCAUCCAAAGGAAAAUA